CUUUGCAGCCUUGACUAUUAAUUGUGGAUCUGUUGCUGUGGCCACCAGACUGUGACCUCAUGGAGGGCCAGGGCUGUAUCUGUUCAUGUUUAUACCCUAGCACCCAGCAGAGGGCCUGCCACACAGUACAGCAGGAAGGAGGGGUAAAAGAAUGGACUCCACAGGCCUGGUGAUCAAGAGCCAGCAGCCAGACACUCUCAGGCUGAGUUCUAAGUUGUAAAGCCACCUCUGGGGCUGCUCUCUAGGGGAGAUUUAAGAACAUACUACACUGGAGAACAAGAGCAGGCUGACAAGAAAAAGCAUCCUGAGAACAUGAACCUUUCUUGGCAAUUAAAAAACACAACGGCUAGGGAAAAAACCAAACCCACAAAACUCCACACAUGCAGCAAAGAGCAGAAAGGAGUCUCCUAAAAAAAACAGUUGGUCAAUUAGAAAAUCAAUUCAACAAACUCUGAAAAUCUAGAAGAAAAAAGGCAAAGUAACAGAAUUAAUGAAAAAAAAGGUAGAUGGAUUUGGAAUUCUAAUCUCUACACAACAACAGUUGCAAAAAGAAAACAUAAGCAAAUGAAGGGAAAUCAAUUCAUAAAAAAGCAGAAGACAAUUUCUUUGAUCUGAAGAAAGACUUGAAUUUUCAGAUCAACAAUAUCAUGGAAGAUUAUUGAGGAAAGAAAAAAAGACCUAGACCUGGAUAUAGCUUGAUCAAUCCUUCCCAAGAAUAACGAAAAACUUAUAUAAAAAUCCUUAGCAAACAAAAAACAGAUUACCCGCAAAGGAAAAAUAAUUAGACAACUGAAUUCCUCACCUGCAAGAGCGGAGGCCAGAAAUUUAUGAAGCAAUGUUUAUACAUUCCAAGAUGAAAGAACUGUGAUUGUGACUUCAGACUCUUAAACCUAGCGAAGCUUUCCUUUCUGUGUGACAUGCAAGUUAAGACACUUAAAGUCUCAGAAAGUAAACUCUUUCUGAAAAGCAACACCAAAAAUUACUUGAAGUAUUCCAGCCAAAUGCGAAAUUAAUCACCUUAAAUAAUUCAAGAAAGGAGAAGAUAUGCUAUAGAAAAAAUUAUGUGAGCAAUGAAACCAAUUAAAAUCUAAGAUAAUACAUAACAAGUGGGUUAUAAUGUGAUGAUGACACUUAAUAACUGUUAAGAAAGGAUGCUUGGAAUAGAAAAGGCAUAAAAAAUUUGGUAAUAAUCUAGAAUUAAAAUUUCAUGUUAUUUCAAUUAAAUUUGAGUCUGGGAAGGGAAAGAGGAGUGAAGAAAAAGUACGCUAAAGGUUUUAUCCUAUCUAGAAGAAUAGUCAUAAUCUACUCUUGAUCGAGAGAUACACACACAUAUGUUUUAAUAUGUUUGUUAAAAACCUAAACAAGAGUACAAAGAGGAGAUAUAUUGGUGUAUGUGUGUGUGCAUGUGCUACAUAAAGAAUACAUAUUUUUUUAAAUCCUAGUAAUAUGUUAGUCCAAGGAAUAUGGUAGGCUCCAAAGAAAAGCUCAAUAUUGUCUCAGAUAUAGAACUCUUACACGUUAACUGACCAUAAUGUAGAAAUUAACAUCAAAUAUAGAAACCGAACAUCACAAACCACUUGAAAAUUUCAGAAAAUACUCUUCCCAAAACUCA